UACGGGGGGGCAAGCGUUGUUCGGAAUUACUGGGCGUAAAGGGCUCGUAGGCGGCCAACUAAGUCAAACGUGAAAUCCCUCGGCUUAACCGGGGAACUGCGUCUGAUACUGGAUGGCUUGAGGUUGGGAGAGGGAUGCGGAAUUCCAGGUGUAGCGGUGAAAUGCGUAGAUAUCUGGAGGAACACCGGUGGCGAAGACGGCAUCCUGGACCAAUUCUGACGCUGAGGAGCGAAAGCCAGGGGAGCAAACGGG
rnacentral:rRNA from 1 species